AAGCACCUUUCCAACUACUCAA
rnacentral:siRNA from 1 species